UACGUAGGGUGCGAGCGUUAAUCGGAAUUACUGGGCGUAAAGUGUGCGCAGGCGGCCGCGCAAGUCGAGUGUGAAAGCCCCGGGCUUAACUUGGGAAUUGCGCUCGAAGCUACGUGGCUAGAGUGUGGCAGAGGGAGGUGGAAUUCCACGUGUAGCGGUGAAAUGCGUAGAGAUGUGGAGGAACACCGAUGGCGAAGGCAGCCUCCUGGGCCAACACUGACGCUCAUGCACGAAAGCGUGGGGAGCAAACAGG
rnacentral:rRNA from 1 species